rnacentral:rRNA from 1 species
GAUGAACGCUGGCGGCGUGCCUAAUACAUGCAAGCCGAGCGAACAGACGAGGAGCUUGCUCCUCUGACGUUAGCGGCGGACGGGUGAGUAACACGUGGAUAACCUACCUAUAAGACUGGGAUAACUUCGGGAAACCGGAGCUAAUACCGGAUAAUAUAUUGAACCGCAUGGCUCAAUAGUGAAAGACGGUUUUGCUGUCACUUAUAGAUGGAUCCGCGCCGCAUUAGCUAGUUGGUAAGGUAACGGCUUACCAAGGCGACGAUGCGUAGCCGACCUGAGAGGGUGAUCGGCCACACUGGAACUGAGACACGGUCCAGGCUCCUACGGGAGGCAGCAGUAGGGAAUCUUCCGCAAUGGGCGAAAGCCUGACGGAGCAACGCCGCGUGAGUGAUGAAGGUCUUCGGAUCGUAAAACUCUGUUAUUAGGGAAGAACAAAUGUGUAAGUAACUAUGCACGUCUUGACGGUACCUAAUCAGAAAGCCACGGCUAACUACGUG